AUUAAUAAGCUAUUAAGGGCUAAUGGUGGAUGCCUAGACUGUAAGAGGCGAUGAAAGACGUAUUAGGCUGCGAUAAGCCUCGGGGAGCUGCCAAAGAGCUUUGAUCCGGGGAUUUCUGAAUGGGGCAACCCAGUAUAGUGAGAGCUAUAUUACCCUACGGGGAGCUAACCUGGUGAAGUGAAACAUCUCAGUAGCCAGAGGAAGAGAAAUCAAACGAGAUUCCGUCAGUAGCGGCGAGCGAAAGCGGAUUAGGACAAACCCAAUGCUUGCAUUGGGGGUUGUAGGACCAUAACGUGAGACUAAAGAAGAUAGAUGAAAUACUUGGAAAAGUGUAGCAUAGAAGGUGAAACUCCUGUAAUUUAAAUUUUCAAUAGCUCUAUUGGUAUCCUGAGUAGGUCGGAACACGUGAUAUUUUGACUGAAACUG
rnacentral:rRNA from 1 species